rnacentral:lncRNA from 1 species
CUUCUUAUCCCUGAACUGCUCCAUCAGCCGCCUGACAAGGUGGAUAGCUUCUGUAGUGGAGCGACCCGGCAUAAAACCGAACUGGUUCACAGAUAUAAAUGUCAUAUUCCAUAUCCCUCAAAAUUCAAUAAAACGGUAAUUUUUAGCCAGUUUUCAAUUUUUUGCAGAAUUUUUCUUUUUCCAGUUCCUCUUGAGAAUGAAGAAACAAACCUUUUAUAAAGCUUCCUAGGGCAACAGAAAAUAGUUCAGAUGUUACCUAUUGCCCCUUUUUCAAUUAUCACUUUUGCUAAUUAAUUCCUAAAUUUUUUACUUGCUUGCCAAAUAAAGCUGUUUUUCAGCUUCCAAGAAGCUUCCUAGUCUGUUGCUAAAAGAUUCCCUAUACCAUUUUCCUAAAUUACCCUUAAAACCCCUGCUAUUUACUUCAGUAAACCAAACCUACAACCAAAUUGCCCAAAGGUCUUUGGGCUACUACACUAGCAGAUUCUAAAGCCUUUGGGCUCCUGAACCCUCGAAACCCAAAUUGUGAUCCAAAAGACCACAGGCCACAAAUAGGUAAGCCCAAAAUUCUGUCAUUCCGGCAUCAAGAAAGAAAAAGUCUAAUAGAGUAAGAUAAAAAGGAAAAGUAAAAGCGAGACAACAGGCAAACAUAAAAUCAAAAGUACAUUAAUAUGCUGAUAAUCACUAAUAUAACCUAAAUCUAAACAUGUAACAGAGAUCAAUUCGAACUAAUAAAAGAAAAUGAAAGAAAAAAGAAGAAACAGCAAUAUGGGACUUAAAAUGCAUACAAAAAGAACAGAAAGAUAUGAGUUAAAAUGAACAAAGACAGAAGAAGAUGAGCGUGAAAAUAAACAGAAUAGAAAUGGUAAAAAGCAAUGAAAUACCUAGAAUAGUAGGAAACAGAUAAAAGGGAGCCGGACUUGGCCUUAAUCGUAUGUUCUUGCGGAGAACAAACGAAUAAAGCCAAUUCCAACUCCAAAUCACUCGUCAAAACUUGAAAUAUUCAUAAGGUUUCGUUUGCCUUCUGCUUUGUCUUAGAUUAAGAAUUUGUUCUAUUUGGUGACGAUUUGAGAGAAUUUGGUAAUGGAUUUGGUAUUAGAGGUGAGUUAGGGUUAUAUGGUGUGGAUUUGGUGGUGGUUGGAGGUGGCACCGCCACCGGAGAAAACUAGGGUGGCGCUAGGGUUUCGUCUUUUGAUCUGAGAUUCGAGCAAUUCCGGGAGGAUUCGAGUUGAAUGGAUUGGGGAGACGAGGGGGGCUUGGGGAAUGGUUGGUGUUAGUUUGGUGGCGAUUGGCCGCCUGCUUUCGCCGUGGGCAAUUUUUGGCAGGUGGCGGACGGUGGUUAAAGAGUGGUGUUUGGUUGGGGUCUUUGAGGGUAUGCGAGGGAUGAUGAGAAAGGUAUAGGAUCACGUUUGGAAAUAUAUGUGGUAGGUAAUCCUCAGUUCCGGAUCGUUGGAUUGAUGAGUUCCAACGGUCGAGAUUAGAAGGAAAAAAGGGGGAUCAUUUGGAGGGUAAGG